GGGAAACUCACCAGGUCCAGACAUAAUAAGGAUUGACAGAUUGAUAGCUCUUUCUUGAUUUUAUGGGUGGUGGUGCAUGGCCGUUCUUAGUUCGUGGAGUGAUUUGUCUGCUUAAUUGCGUUAACGAACGAGACCUUAACCUGCUAUAUAGGAGCGUAUAUCUUCGGAUAAACGCCUUUCUUCAUAGAGGGACUGUAUGCGUUUCAGCAUGCGGAAGUUUGAGGCUAAAA
rnacentral:rRNA from 1 species